AAAAGGGUGUGUGUGUGUGUCUGAAGGACCUUGUAUCAGCUGCUCUGGUUCUGAUGGCAGAGGUAGUCUUAAGUGUUUAGGAUUAGCAGAAAGGGUCUCUGACCAUGCGGAAGCACUUGAGGUGAGUGGAGCUGCUGUUUCUGCUACUCAGAAGGUUUGAAACUGAGCUGACAAUAGGGACUAAGCUAAACUGUGCAUCUCACUAGGCUUCUCUUUUUACUAGGCAGUCUUAAGAAAAAAAUCUAGCACACUUUGUCCUCCCUCUCCAGCUCACUGCCCAAGCCUAUUUGUACCUGAAACUGCAGUAUUAACACCUACGAACAACACAGUUGUUCCUCAAAGGGCUGAAUUCCUCUCCUUGGAUAUGUUAGCGUGUAAUAACCUGAGAUAAUUUUAUUUAGAACCAGCUGUAAUGUCUUCCCUGUCAGUUUCAUAAACUUUUUCACGCUUAGUGUGAAAAGACUAAGGCAGAGCCUAGAUCAAUUCCUUGUUUGUUCAUCGGUCAUUGGCCAUCAUGCUUAUGCAGUUAUUGUUUGUUUCUCUCGUGGUAACAGAGUAAUGACACUUUCUGUCCUUUUGUAGGUCUUCUGAGAUCUGCAGACACAGGAUUAUGUAAAAACAAAGACUAACAUAGCAUGAGAGAGCAUGAGCUGUCCCCAGACAGGUAGAAGUCAUCUGAAAUCAUCAGUAAAAGUGGUAUAUUUCCUGGAGAAUUGCCAUUGCUUUGUGUGGCGUUUACCCUUAGAAUUACUUCUGUCAGCCUCUGGAAGUUGGCUAGCAAACAUCCUUUGGUGUUUCAAGUUCCUGUGUGUUGCAAAAUCCUCAUACUUGAAGUUUCAUUGUCCUGUUAUUCUGAAAAUGAGAAGCUGCUGAAGUCAGUGUAAUGGAUGCAACAGCAUAGCCUGUAAGAGGCCACUAAGUAUUUAGUUUGAAUGGAUCAAAAGCCGUAUUUGUCCAGUGUGGAGGGACCCAGGCACCUUCCGAAGACUGGAACAACCUACAGGACUUCACAUAAGCCAAGGGACACAGAAGGAGUUUGCAUCCCUCAGAACCCUGUCGCCAUAACAGCAGAACUGUAACAGCAGAAGAUGUGCACGUGCAAACUGAGAUUGAGACACACUGCUCCGUUGAAGUCUUCAGCUCGCAAACACAAUACGUCUCUCAAACCACCAGAAUUG